rnacentral:rRNA from 1 species
GGGCCCGCACAAGCGGUGGAGCAUGUGGUUUAAUUCGAUGAUACGCGAGGAACCUUACCAGGGCUUAAAUGUAGUGGGACAGGUCUAGAGAUAGACCCUUCUUCGGACUCAUUACAAGGUGCUGCAUGGUUGUCGUCAGCUCGUGCCGUGAGGUGUCAGGUUAAGUCCUAUAACGAGCGCAACCCCUAUCGUUAGUUGCCAGCGAGUAAUGUCGGGAACUCUAACGAAACUGCCAGUGCAAACUGUGAGGAAGGUGGGGAUGACGUCAAAUCAUCACGGCCCUUACGUCCUGGCUACACACGUGCUACAAUGGCCGGUACAGAGAGCAGCCACGGUGAAUACGUUCCCG